CUCCCCCACCUUCGUAAUCACACAGGUUUGGGUCAGGAGCUGGUGGUGGACAGCACGAUGCCUUCUUCCCUGAAAUCUGCCUACGCCUCUCCAAGGUCAUGCAGUUUACGUGACUGUGCCUCAUUCCAGAGACAUUGAUCCUUUGGAAUGAGUCUCAGAACCACCGUAUCUUCCUUGCUACCAGCCCAAUGAUGAAACCAACACACA
rnacentral:lncRNA from 1 species